GUACUACUCCCUCUGUCCCAAAAUUCUCGUCUUAGAUUCAUCUAGAUAUGAAGGUAUCUAAUCACAUUUUAGUAUAUUUGAUACAUUCAUUUCUAGACAAAUCAGAGACAAAUUUUUUGCGAUGGAGGGAAUAUUAA
rnacentral:pre_miRNA from 1 species